UUCAAUGGCCAUGAAAUGAAGGAAAUAAGUCAUGUUGCUUUAUAUUUAGAUACGUGUGGUACUGCAUGAUGGGUAUUGAAAUUGGAUAACUGUAAGUUCUUUCUUCAUUUUUGUGAAACUUAGGUUCCAAAAGAUAUGCUAAAUGAUUUUAGUUGUUAGUUUAUUAAUCAUUCUAUUUAGGUAAUAUUUUAGCCUAAUUGUAAUUUAAACUUUACUUAAUAUUAGUAAAUCUAAAAAUAUAAAAAUAUAAAAGAUAUAUAAUUAGGGAUUAAAAUGGGAUUAGGAUUAAUUUUAUAAUUAACACAAAAAAAAUAAUAAAAAUAAUAAAAGAUAAAAAAUAAAAAAUUAGAACACUAGGGAAUAUAAUUUAGGAUAAUUAUGGGAUAUAAAUUUGGGAUAAAAAAACUAUGGAUUGUG
rnacentral:lncRNA from 1 species